GGACGGGUAGCAUAACUGGUAAAUGCGCUGCACUGGUAGCAGACAUUGUUUCAAGCAAGAGAAGCGUGGUUCGAGUCCCGCCCUGUCCC